rnacentral:misc_RNA from 1 species
GUGAAUCAUCGAAUCUUUGAACGCAAAUUGCACUUUCUGGUAUUCCGGAAAGUAUGCCUGUUUGAGGGUCAGUUAAAUAAAAAUCGGUGUUGUUGCUACCCGUAGUGGUGUUAAUGCAUCGGAAUUGAGUUGUCUUUACCUUUUUUGGUUGAAGUGACUUAAAAUUACGUACGAUUUUUUGAACGUAUUUAAAUUAUUUACGUAUGUUCAUAAUAUCAAAUAUUAGGUGCGGUCAUCCUUAUGAUUCACAUCUAUAAUUUUUCAUUAUUUGACCUCAAAUCAGGUAAGAGUACCCGCUGA